rnacentral:rRNA from 1 species
GACAGAGGGUGCAAACGUUGUUCGGAUUUACUGGGCGUAAAGCGCGUGUAGGCGGCUUUGCAAGUCGGAUGUGAAAGCCCACGGCUCAACCGUGGAAGUGCAUCCGAAACUGUCUGGCUAGAGUCCGGAAGGGGCGAGUGGAAUUCCUGGUGUAGCGGUGAAAUGCGCAGAUAUCAGGAGGAACACCAAUGGCGAAGGCAGCUCGCUGGAACGGUACUGACGCUGAGGCGCGAAAGCGUGGGGAGCGAACAGG